UUCUGACCCCUACAGGUUUUCCGGGCUGGGAGAAGUUCCAUACCAUGUGACUUAGCCUGACCUAUCCUAUGUGCCAAGGGCCACAGAGACAGGCACUAGGUAAGACUAUAAACUUAUCCUGCGGCUGCAAGGGGAGGAGCUGGGCUUAUUUUCCCCACUGAGGCCUGAAUGCUGUCACAGAGGCACCUGUCAGGUCCAUGUCCUAAAUGACAGGCUGAAGGAGUGUGGCCUGAUUUCUCCCAGAGUGUCCAUCUGGUCUCUUAAAACAGUAGGUCCCAGAUAAUGGUGGUUGGUUUUAAUGUCAACUUGCCAAAAUUAGAGUCACCUGGUGUCUUAGUCAGCGUUCGAUUGCUGUGAAGAGACACUGUGAUCAAAGCAACUCGUAGAAAGGAAAGCAUUUAACUGGGGCUUGCUCACAGUCUCAGAAAUGUAGUCCCUUAUCAGCAUGGUGGGAAACAUGGUGGCACACACGAAGGCAUGGUGCUGGAAAAGGGGCGGAGAGUUCUACAUCCAGAGCCACAGGCAGUAGGAAGAGACAGAGACAUUGGGCCUGGCUUGGGCUUCUGAAACCUCAAAGCCUACCCCCAGUGACACACUUCCUUCCAAAAAGCCACAUCCACUCCAACAAGGCCUCACCUCCUAAUCCCUCUCACGUAUCACCAUCCCCUAAAGACCAAGCAUUCAAAUGAGCCUAUGGGGGGCCGUUCUUUUUCAAAUCACUAUGCCUGGGUAGGAGCCUCACCUGGAGGGCUGUCCUGCCUGUCGGCCUUUUGCUCAGUGGACACCCCUCUUCACAGAGUUGAUUUAUCCUGGCGCUGCUGCAGCCGCCAAUUCCCUCACUGAUAUCGGAGCCAGUGCUUGCCCGCUUCCAUCACUGACUACAACAUCAGCUCUUCAGGAACUCUCCAGGAGAGGGUUCUGUGCUCAAAUGGAAGUGGCAAGGCACUUGGCCUCAUGGAGCAAGCAACUACUGGGUGCCAGCCUUGCCAAUGUGAGACGGCCACCGUGGAACUCCAGCUGCCAUGAUGCCCAGCCUCAAGGACCCAGCAAUGACCAGGUUCUCAGUUUCUAAGGUGUGAGACAACUGUUGCUACUAUUUUAAGGCUGUUCCAUAGGAGUAAGGACAGGAACCUGCUGUGACUCAGAAGGACCAGGCCCUAGGACAAAGGCAAUGUUUAACUAUGCCCCGACCUAAAGUCUGCCUCCAUACCAGGAAUCACACACCCUGGGCCAUGUGGAAUAAAGGCUGCCCACCAGUCCGAACCCGUUAUUCUUUUAGAAGGGGCAGCAAGCCCUCAUCCCUUCUGACCCAGCAUCAAUUAGAAGAAAUAUCUGGGGUGACUACGAAGCAUCUAGAGAAAGCAAGCCAGAACUUCCCCACAAGACCUAACUUCACACUGGCUACUUAAUGUGCAUUAAAAUCAUCGACAUCACCAUCAUCAUCAUCAUCAUCGUAAUCAUUGUCAUCGCUAUCAUCGUUGUCAUCACCGUCAUCAUUGUCAUUGUCAUCGCCAUCAUCAUCAUCGUGUAUGCGUGCCCACAGACAACUUUUGAGGGCCAUUUUCUCCCCCCACUGUGAGUUCCAGAUAUCAAAUUCUGGUCAUCAAGCUUGCAAAUGUCUUUUUCCUUGAUAAGAUAUUUAGUUUUGACCUUCUAAAUGACUUAGAAAUGUAACUGUACCUUGGUUUUCACAUUUCAAAGUGUUUAUAAUUUUACAGAUUUCAAUGUAAAUAAUUAACUACUUUAAGUUUCUAGUUUUAGUUGCCAAAAUUAUAUGAAUGCUAUUUAAUUAAGAGCACCACCUGUUUGUUUGUUUGUUGCAUUAUGGUCUUUAUAUAAACCUUAAAAUAUUUGAGUUAAAAACUAAAUGUAAUUCAACCUUUGAAAAAUUCAAGAUAUAUGUGAAACAUGCUGAGAACACAUUUAAAAUCUGUCUCCUCUUUCUUAGUCAUCACCAUUUCGUGAACACUGGAAAGGCCAGAUUAUGCUGGGAAAGGGGGCUGAGCAGUUGCUUGGCUCGUGGGGACAGGUGGGUGACAGCUUCAGGAGUGCUGCCUGUGCUCCUACACUUGGCUACUGGAAGCCUGGAAGGCUGCAAGGCAGUCUGCAGCCACAGCAGCUCCCUGUCAACUUCUUGUCCUUUUAACAGUAAAUGUCAUUUAAUUGACGCUAUUGAGUUUUUUUGCACUUCCUUGGGUCAUUUGGUCUGGUUUUACCUCAGAUAUAGACCACGGCUGAGAAAAACGAAAACCUGCAACCAGUACCCCCUAGUUAUAAAAAACUAGAGUUCUAAUGUAAUGUUCUAAUAUAAAGACACCAAUAUGAAACUAGAAUUUAACUGUGUCUAAAGCAAGACUUUCUUCAGGAUAUUUUCUGCUCAGUGCCAUUCUCACAAUUGAGCAAAACCACAAGAGUUUAUAUUUUAUUAAAAUUAUUCAUGUUUUCUGAUGUUUAUGUUUCAGGCUUUUGAUUACAUAUUAAAUUGCUUUAAUAAAUUCAA